CCUACGGGACGCAGCAGUAGGGAAUUUUCGUCAAUGGGCGCAAGCCUGAACGAGCAAUGCCGCGUGAACGAGGAAGGUCUUCGGAUCGUAAAGUUCUGUUGUAGGGGAAAAAGAGCGGAGAGAGGAAAUGAACUCCGAUUGAUAUUACCCUUCGAGGAAGUCACGGCUAACUACGUGCCAGCAGCCGCGGUAAUACGUAGGUGGCGAGCGUUAUCCGGAAUGAUUGGGCGUAAAGGGAGCGUAGGCGGCCUGCUAAGUCUGGAGUGAAAGGCACCGGCUUAACCGGUACAGGCUAUGGAAACUUG
rnacentral:rRNA from 1 species